UGUCAGCACUCGUUAUUAUUAUCGUCACGUUUGUCUUGUUAGUAUGUUUAGUGUUCUUCAUGGUCAUUAAAUAAUGUAUUGGUCUCAUUGGUCUCAUCGUUACGAUGAACGUGACAAUGGGUGUGUGGUACCCUUCCUCACCAUGCCAACAAGAUGUUACUUCUUGUGGGGUCUUUGCCUUGGAAUUUGCUGAAUGUGUUCUGAAGGAGGAGUCGAUUUGUCUUUUUCAAAUGGGGACAAAAAUGUUAACAUGAGAGAGGAAAUGGCAGUCACACUCCUCAAACACUGAUGUAGAGACUACUAGACAUUAUGACAUUGCUAGAUGACCUGAGCCAACUGUGCCACUGUGGGGAGAUGGACAAUGAAGACACUAACUUGAUUGGUUGUGUCCGCUGCCCACGAUGGUUCCAACAGUCCUGUAUGACCCAUCCCACCAUUGGAGGAUAAUGUCUGCGCUACCUGUCAGGACUAGGUUAGGCCUGAGUUCCAUAAAUAUAGAGAUGAAACUUUCCAUAAAAAUUGGACUAAAUGUUCAGUUGAGCUGUUGCAGCUUUUCAAUAUUUGUUUAUGCUAUUUGUCAUUUAAAAUCUUAUUAUGCAAAGAUUGAAAUUUGUAUUUUAUAUUUAAUGUUUGUUAUCAAACUUAAUUUUCUGUGUUAUUGUGUGGUUUGUAUUAUAUUUCUUAAACACUAUUUCAGAAACAUUUUGUUUAUACUCUAAUUUUGCUUUCUGUGGCACACUACUGGCAAAAAUUAUUCUGAAAUGUGCCAGGCCUUGCAGUCCCAAGAUGGAAGGGGGGGUAUUUCGGCAGUCAAGAAAAUUGCCUUGCCGAGAUCCCUUUCUCCAAUGAAACUCUGACGUACAGUACCAGUCAAUGUAGCCACCCUUUUCCUUGACAGCUUUGCACACUUGGCAUUCUCACAACCAACUUCAU